GACGAACGCUGGCGGCGUGCUUAACACAUGCAAGUCGAACGGAAAGGCCCUGCUUUUGUGGGGUGCUCGAGUGGCGAACGGGUGAGUAAAACGUGAGUAACCUGCCCUUGACUUUGGGAUAACUUCAGGAAACUGGGGCUAAUACCGGAUAGGAGCUCCUGCUGCAUGGUGGGGGUUGGAAAGUUUCGGCGGUUGGGGAUGGACUCGCGGCUUAUCAGCUUGUUGGUGGGGUAGUGGCUUACCAAGUCUUUGACGGGUAGCCGGCCUGAGAGGCUGACCGGCCACAUUGGGACUGAGGUACGGCCCAGACUCCUACGGGAGGCAGAGGUGGGGAAUAUUGCACAAUGGGCGGAAGCCUGAUGCAGCAACGCCGCGUGCGGGAUGACGGCCUUCGGGUUGUAAACCGCUGUCGCCGGUGACAAAGCGGUAGUGACGGUAAUGGGUAAAGAAGCACCGGCUAACUACGUG
rnacentral:rRNA from 1 species